CCUUCUCGAUUUUUAUUGAUUUUUAUUGUAAAUAAUCCUUUACCGUUUCUUCUCCUUAAUUCAAUGAUUUUUAUAUUUUUUAUUUUUUUUUUAUUGUUUGAGUAUAUUACGAGUAUGUGUAUACAUUCUACUUUCAAUGAUCCACCUUUUUAAGAUGUCUGUAUAUAUAUAUUUGUUGUUCUGUUCAUAUGGGCAUUUCCGUUCUGGUGACACAUUUCAUUCCCAUUUCUAAUAAUUUAUUAGUGAUUUAUAAUUAUAUGAAUUAUUUAGUGUUAGUCCUUUCAUAACUCAUAUGUUAUUAAUGCAACAUUAACAUUUAAACAGAAGUUGCUUGACAUGCUUUGUUGACAUUUUCGCGGAAAUGCCCAAGAAAGUAUGUAUGUAUGUAUGUACAUGUACAUACAUACAUACAUACAUACAAGCAAACAUGUGUAUGUUUCUGUACAUUGAGCGGGUGGGAUGUUACAAAUGCUACAGGACUAGAUUCGGUACAUCGAUAUGAAUAUCUUUUAAAUAAAUUGUUUUCCGAACGCCGAUAUCUAUUCACUCAAUAGUUCAAAAUUGUAUGUAAAUAUGAAUAUACUCUGUACUGGGAGUAGUACAUUUUUAUCUUACAACUCCACAUUUUCUUCUUAUAAUGAAAACCACGUACAAACAACUAUCUAAAUUGACAGGUAUUCGGUUUUUCUUUCUUUCAGAGCAAAUUGCUUUUGAUUUUUGAUAUUACCUAUUCAAAUUUUGAAUAUACCUACAUAUUGUUUGACAGCCAUUAUGUAUUUCAGUAUCUACUCGUAUGUAUAUUAUUGUUAAUAACUCUAUUUGCGCUUGUUUUUUGCUUAGAUUGUAAUCAAAUCUCGUGGUUUUGUCACAGGUACACAUCCAUUUUAACUAACACACAUGCAACAUCAAUGGAUUAUUCGUAUGCAAAUACUUGUAAAUAUAUUUCUGUAUAUAUGUAGAAAUACAAAUGUAUGUACAUAUAUGAUAUAUAUAAAUACAUAUAUGUAUAUAUGAUCUUUUUGUUGUGUGUAUGACAAUAAUAGGUUCAAGGUACAUAUGCACAUAUGUAUGUAUGUAUGUAGGCUUGGGUCACAGCUAAUUCGAUAAAAAAACAACAACAACAAAAACCAACCCAAAUGACAUUAAUUUUUAUUUAAUAUUCCUGUUUUCAUGACUUACGACUAAAAUUUUUAUUCGAAAACUAUGUUGAGCUUUUUCAAUUUAUCUAUCACGCACUUUUCCGAGUUUUUUUGGGGAAGGCUUUCAAUCAAAAUAACUCCAUGUACAUACAUAUGUAUAUUGAUAGGCACACUUAAGCAUAUUAUGACCUCUUAAAUUAUACAUUAAAAUGGCAAAAUAUUUACCUCUUCGAAUUGAC
rnacentral:lncRNA from 1 species